rnacentral:rRNA from 1 species
CAGUCGCCACGGUAAUACGAAGGGUGCAAGCGUUAAUCGGAAUUACUGGGCGUAAAGCGUGCGUAGGCGGUGAGUUAAGUCUGCUGUGAAAUCCCCGGGCUCAACCUGGGAAUGGCAGUGGAUACUGGCUCGCUAGAGUGUGUCAGAGGAUGGUGGAAUUCCCGGUGUAGCGGUGAAAUGCGUAGAGAUCGGGAGGAACAUCAGUGGUGAAGGCGGCCAUCUGGGACAACACUGACGCUGAGGCACGAAAGCGUGGGGAGCAAACAGGAUUAGAUACCCCCGUAGUCCCUGUCUCUUAUAC